GUUUUCUUCGACGGUAGAAAAAAUUUUGUAUGAUACACGCAUCAAAUAUUAUAUAAGACCAACUUAAAGAUUAUUCAUCCAUUUUGAAAUCCUUAUAAAAUCUACAUCUGAAGUGGGCUGAGAAAAGUACAGCGAAUAGGAGAGAAAAAUUAAAAGACUGGAGAUUAAUCUCCUUAUUCGUUACAUGGAAAAUACAAUCCUUCUGUUGUUGGAUAUUGAUUCGAGAAAAUUAGCAUAGAAGUUUUUAAUUCCGUAUUCAUUAUCUUCAAAAAUUGCAGUUUAUAUUUUAUUUUUAUUAAAAUAUCAGUUUAAGUUUCAUUAUGCAAUAUACGUAUGUAUAGGA